ACCUCAGCCUGUCACCCCUAUAUAUGGCAGAAAUUUCUCAUACAGAUCACCUCAGCCUAUUACCCCUAUAUAUGGCAGAAAUUUCUCAUACAGAUCACCUCAGCCUAUUACCCCUAUAUAUGGCAGAAAUUUCUCAUACAGGUCACCUCAGCCUAUUACCCCUAUAUAUGGCAGAAAUUUCUCAUACAGAUCACCUCAGCCUAUUACCCCUAUAUAUGGCAGAAAUUUCUCAUACAGGUCACCUCAGCCUAUUACCCCUAUAUAUGGCAGAAAUUUCUCAUACAGAUCACCUCAGCCUAUUACCCCUAUAUAUGGCAGAAAUUUCUCAUACAGGUCACCUCAGCCUAUUACCCCUAUAUAUGGCAGAAAUUUCUCAUACAGGUCACCUCAGCCUAUUACCCCUAUAUAUGGCAGAAAUUUCUCAUACAGGUCACCUCAGCCUAUUACCCCUAUAUAUGGCAGAAAUUUCUCAUACAGGUCACCUCAGCCUAUUACCCCUAUAUAUGGCAGAAAUUUCUCAUACAGAUCACCUCAGCCUAUUACCCCUAUAUAUGGCAGAAAUUUCUCAUACAGAUCACCUCAGCCUAUCACCCCUAUAUAUGGCAGAAAUUUCUCAUACAGAUCACCUCAGCCUAUCACCCCUAUAUAUGGCAGAAAUUUCUCAUACAGAUCACCUCAGCCUAUCACCCUUAUAUAUGGCAGAAAUUUCUCAUACAGAUCACCUCAGCCUAUCAAACUAUAGAUGGUAACAUUACUACAUGUAUAUACUGACCACCUCAGUCUAUCACCACUCUAGUUGGUUGAUGUUAGACAUGGCUCAAGCAAAUCCUAAAAAAGG